CUACGGCCAUAUUGGCAUUGAAACACCGUUUUCCGUACGAUCACCGAAGGUAAGCAGCGUUGAGCCUGGUCAGUAGCUAGAUGGGUGACCGCACGAGAAUACCAGGUGGUGUAAU